rnacentral:rRNA from 1 species
UGGGGAAUAUUGGACAAUGGGCGAAAGCCUGAUCCAGCCAUGCCGCGUGUGUGAAGAAGGUCUUCGGAUGGUAAAGCACUUUAAGUUGGGAGGAAGGGCAUUAACCUAAUACGGUAGUGUUUUGACGUUACCGACAGAAUAAGCACCGGCUAACUCUGUGCCAGCAGCCGCGGUCAUACAGAGGGUGCAAGCGUUAAUCGGAAUUACUGGGCGUAAAGCGCGCGUAGGUGGUUUGUUAAGUUGGAUGUGAAAUCCCCGGGCUCAACCUGGGAACUGCAUUCAAAACUGACUGACUAGAGUAUGGUAGAGGGUGGUGGAAUUUCCUGUGUAGCGGUGAAAUGCGUAGAUAUAGGAAGGAACACCAGUGGCGAAGGCGACCACCUGGACUAAUACUGACACUGAGGUGCGAAAGCGUGGGGAGCAAACA